ACCUGUGAUGUCUUCCUAGGACUCUCCAAUGUGUCUGGCCCUGACCAAGCUUUUUGCCCUAAGUGUGGCUUAUCUGCGAUGUCUUUCUCCCUAACAUCCAGUUCCAACCCCUUUGCGGGGUCCAAGGGCUCCUGGAGGAGGAGAUGACUUCUGGGGCACAGCAAACCAAGAUGUGUGCUCCCCAGAGCUGACUUGGAAGCUGUCCGGCCCCUCUGCAUUCACCCCAGCUGCCCAUGUACACCAGGCAGCAGGAGGGACAGCCACUGCAGGCUGCCAGCCUGUCCUUUGCUGUCUGUGUCUGUGUCAAGAGUGAAUGAAGUGAUAAAACCAGGAGAGCAGUGUGCUGUGAAAAAGUUAAAGAUGUGUCAGAACUGUGACGCUGAAUCCGGAGCCCCAACCUCUCCUAGCCUCCUAGAGGAGGAUGACCCAGGACCCUUGUCCUCCCAACAGCAGGCCACCAGUUCAAGGGACAAGAAGCCCCUAAGCUCCCUCCACCUUUCACAUAGGGCCCAGGUGGCCUUGGAGUACCUGCCUUUCUUCUGCACCUAUGGGUGCCUCCUGGAAGAGGAGGGGUUGGUCCUGCAGCCCAAGACACCGCUCCAGGAGGACUCAGAACUGC
rnacentral:lncRNA from 1 species